rnacentral:snRNA from 1 species
UCACCACUCUGGCCUUUUAGCUUAGAUCAAGUGUAGUAUCUAUUCUUUAUAGGUAAAUCACCAUUAUAGAGGCACCACCUCCAUUCUUGGUUAUCUUAUUUUUGCCACCCUUUGUUGGUGAGCUCUGCAUACAACUCAACAACAUGAUGAUCUUGCCAUUGCAGUAUUGGCUUGUGUUGUCAGGGGAUC